CUGCAAUGAUGUGUGAAUUUCUUCACCUGAACUACUCCAUGAAGAUCAAAACCAUACGAGCUUUUUAACCCUGAGCAGC